UACGUAGGGUGCAAGCGUUGUCCGGAAUUAUUGGGCGUAAAGCGCGUGUAGGCGGCCCGGUUAGUCCGCUGUGAAAGUCCAGGGCUCAACCCUGGAAUGCCGGUGGAUACUGUCGGGCUAGAGUCCGGAAGGGGCGAGUGGAAUUCCUGGUGUAGCGGUGAAAUGUGUAGAGAUCGGGAGGAACACCGGUGGCGAAGGCGGCCUUCUGGACGGUGACUGACGCUGAGGCGCGAAAGCGUGGGGAGCAAACGGG
rnacentral:rRNA from 1 species